rnacentral:rRNA from 1 species
UACGAAGGGGGCUAGCGUUGCUCGGAAUCACUGGGCGUAAAGGGUGCGUAGGCGGGUCUUUAAGUCAGGGGUGAAAUCCUGGAGCUCAACUCCAGAACUGCCUUUGAUACUGAAGAUCUUGAGUUCGGGAGAGGUGAGUGGAACUGCGAGUGUAGAGGUGAAAUUCGUAGAUAUUCGCAAGAACACCGGUGGCGAAGGCGGCCUGCUGGGCAGUUGCUGACACUGAGGCGCGACAGCGUGGGGAGCAAACAGG